CUCCAGCGCUGACUUCCAACACAGACGCGCACGGUCUCUGCAGUGGGCUCCAGGCCUCUGACUUUCAACUGGGUCCUCUGGUUCCCAGUGCACAGACCGCCACUUUGCCUUCUUCCACACGGGACUCUGCGGGUGGCCAUGGCCAGUGUUGCUCCUGGGCUGUUUCCCUGUGUCCCCGAGGAUGUCUGCACUGUUCCUGUCCUGUUUGCUGGGAUGCCGGCUGAAGGCCUCUCCCAUUCUGCCUAGAAGGAAAGCUAAGGAGACAGAAGUUUUAAAUCUUCAGAGCAGAUGACCAAGGAGAUUGAGUGAGAUUCCUUGACACAGACCCUGGAGACUGAGUGCGAGACACGUCCCUGGCCAUGUCCUCUCCAGUGUAUGAUGGGGACAGUAUCACAGGGAAGCCUCUGGGGAGCAGACCCUGCAGAGAAAGAAGACCAUCGGUGUGCAGGAUGUGCAGCAGGAGCCAGGCCAUGAGCAGCAGAGGAGGAGAUCGCCUGUUGCACAGCCUGAAGCCAUCAUCUGCAAAUAAGUCAAUCCCAUCAGUCCUGCUAUGAGCGAUGCACAUGGAGGAUUGGCUAAAGCAAACUUGAACACUGACUCACCAGACUGCAAGCUGGAAGUGACGAGGUUCAAGUUUCGAGGAUGGAGAUUUCUUGUUCAGAAAGCUGGUGCUCGGGAUCAGCAGAUGUGCUGUUAUGGAGACAUCCCAGUGCGUGUGCUUCUCUGAAGCUGAUACAAUAGAACUCACCCGGCAGUCUCUGAAGAAGCACUUCCGGCAUCUGCCAGCCGCAGUGCCUGGGACCGGGCAGGUGGCAGAGGCUGGGUCGCAGGGCCUGCGGCCCGCACCUGGCUCACCUGGUCGUGAAUACCG
rnacentral:lncRNA from 1 species